UCACGCUGUCUAGUCACAGAGGAAGGCUGUGCUUCUCUGGUCUCAGCUCUGAGGUCAAACCCCUCACACCUGAGAGAGCUGGACCUGAGCUACAAUCACCCAGGAGACUCAGGAGUCAGACUGCUCUCUGCUGGACUGGAGGAUCCACACUGCAGACUGGAGAAACUCAAUGUGGAACAUGGUGGAGAGUACACAAUGAAACCUGGGCUUACAAAAUAUGUCUGUGAUCUCACACUGGACCUAAACACAGUAAACAGACUCCUCUCUCUGUCUGAGGGGAACAGAAAGGUGACAUGUAGGAGAGAGGAGCAGCCGUAUCCUGAUCACCCAGAGAGAUUUGAGGACUGUGAACAGGUGCUGUGUAGAGAGGGUCUGACUGGGCGCUGUUACUGGGAGGUAGAGUGGAGUGGGAGAAGGGCUGAUAUAGGAGUGACAUAUAAAGGAAUCAGCAGGAGAGGAGGGGUUAAGGACUGUUAUCUUGGAUGGAAUGACAAGUCCUGGAGUCUGAACUGCUCUGACAACAGUUACAUUGCCUGGCACAAUAAUAAUCCCACUACCAUAGACGUCCCCUCCUCCAGCCCCCACAGAGUAGGAGUGUAUCUGGACUGGCCAGCCGGCACUCUGUCCUUCUAUAGAGCCUCCUCUGACAUACUGACCCACCUGAUCACAUUCAUUUCCACAUUCACUGAGCCCAUCUAUCCAGGGAUUCAUAUUUGGUAUGAUGGCGACUCAGUGUCUCUGUGUCAAACACAACAUGAUGUUUCACUCUAAUCAGGGUCAUGUUCAGUAUGACACACUGGAGCAACAAUGUAGAAUAUCUCUCUAGUGUGUUAACCUCUCUAUCCAGGGUCUUUGGUAUGAAUAUCUCUCUAGUGUGUAAACCUCUCUAUCCAGGGUGUUUGGUAUGAAUAUCUCUCUAGUGUGUUAACCUCUCUAUCCAGGGUGUUUGGUAUGAAUAUCUCUCUAGUGUGUAAACCUCUCUAUCCAGGGUGUUUGGUAUGAAUAUCUCUCU